ACCCACCAUCACCAUUGUCAUCAUCACUAUCAUCAUUAUCAUCUGAGGAAUUUGAACCACCAACAGGAGAAACAUGGUGGAUACUAGCAGCACUCUCAUCCAUUGUUAGGCGGUUCGGCCUUUCAGACUGCCUAAGACGUCUGUUGAGACCAUCCCCUGAUGGCCCAAAUGCAUGCAACAGAAGGAAGACAUUCACCAAGUUUCGAUCAAAACCCACCUCAAAACCUCCAUUACUCUCUGCAGCAUCUGCAUCAAAAUGCCCAUUUUCUUCAUCUAUAUCAAAACCAUAAUUAUUUCCCUCUAUUACAUAAUCCCCAAAAACCAUUGCCCCAGGCAU
rnacentral:misc_RNA from 1 species